CAGCAGCCACGGUAAUACAGAGGGUGCAAGCGUUAAUCGGAAUUACUGGGCGUAAAGCGCGCGUAGGUGGUUUGUUAAGUUGGGUGUGAAAGCCCCGGGCUCAACCUGGGAACUGCAUCCAAAACUGGCAAGCUAGAGUACGGUAGAGGGUGGUGGAAUUUCCUGUGUAGCGGUGAAAUGCGUAGAUAUAGGAAGGAACACCAGUGGCGAAGGCGACCACCUGGACUGAUACUGACACUGAGGUGCGAAAGCGUGGGGAGCAAACAGGAUUAGAUACCCCAGUAGUCCCUGUCUCUUAUAC
rnacentral:rRNA from 1 species